rnacentral:rRNA from 1 species
UCCCUACGGGGGGCUGCAGUGGGGAAUAUUGCACAAUGGGGGAAACCCUGAUGCAGCAACGCCGCGUGAGUGAUGACGGCCUUCGGGUUGUAAAGCUCUGUCUUCAGGGACGAUAAUGACGGUACCUGAGGAGGAAGCCACGGCUAACUACGUGCCAGCAGCCGCGGUAAUACGUAGGUGGCGAGCGUUGUCCGGAUUUACUGGGCGUAAAGGGAGCGUAGGCGGACUUUUAAGUGAGAUGUGAAAUACCCGGGCUCAACUUGGGUGCUGCAUUUCAAACUGGAAGUCUAGAGUGCAGGAGAGGAGAAUGGAAUUCCUAGUGUAGCGGUGAAAUGCGUAGAGAUUAGGAAGAACACCAGUGGCGAAGGCGAUUCUCUGGACUGUAACUGACGCUGAGGCUCGAAAGCGUGGGGAGCAAACAGGAUUAGAUACCCCGGUAGUC